UACGGGGGGGGCAAGCGUUGUUCGGAAUUACUGGGCGUAAAGGGUGCGUAGGUGGCGAGGCAAGUCUGGUGUGAAAUCCCGGGGCUCAACCCCCGGAACUGCACUGGAUACUACUUUGCUAGAGUACUGGAGAGGAGAUUGGAAUUUACGGUGUAGCAGUGAAAUGACGUAGAUAUCGUAAGGAAGACCAGUGGCGAAGGCGAAUCUCUGGACAGUUACUGACACUGAGGCACGAAGGCCAGGGGAGCAAAGCGGG
rnacentral:rRNA from 1 species